UGACGGAGCAGCCGCGUGAGUGAUGAAGGUUUUCGGAUCGUAAAGCUCUGUUGUUAGGGAAGAACAAGUGCAAGAGUAACUGCUUGCACCUUGACGGUACCUAACCAGAAAGCCACGGCUAACUACGUGCCAGCAGCCGCGGUAAUACGUAGGUGGCAAGCGUUGUCCGGAAUUAUUGGGCGUAAAGGGCUCGCAGGCGGUUUCUUAAGUCUGAUGUGAAAGCCCCCGGCUCAACCGGGGAGGGUCAUUGGAAACUGGGAAACUUGAGUGCAGAAGAGGAGAGUGGAAUUCCACGUGUAGCGGUGAAAUGCGUAAGAUGUGGAGGAACACCAGUGGCGAAGGCAGACUCUCUGGUCUGUAACUGACGCUGAGGAGCAGAAAGCGUGGGGAGCGAACAGGAUUAAUACCCUGGUAUUCCACGCCGUAAACGAUGAGUGCUAAGUGUAGGGGGUUUCCGCCCCUUAGUGCUGCAGCAUAACGCAUUAAAGCAC
rnacentral:rRNA from 1 species